GUGCUCUUUUCGGCAGCCCAUAUUCUAAAACCCGAACGAUCUGGAGAUGAUUAGCAGGGCCCCUGGUCGAGAAAGACACACAAAUUCAUGAAGUGCUCCCUAUUAAA
rnacentral:snRNA from 1 species